rnacentral:lncRNA from 1 species
CAUCGUUGCAGGACAUACAGUGACAGUGACCUCAGGGGUCUGGGAAAUGUUCCCUACUGUAUGUUGUACAGCUGGGGGAAAAAAACAACAGGCAUGUAAGAGCACACCGUCAGAAGAACCUCCACCCAAAACUUGCUUCAGAAGUGGCAGUGCUAGCCACUGAGCAAACCUGCCCUUCACCUCAACUGCUGCCAAGACCCUCUUCAGACCGUGGACAACUGACUGCCUGGAGUUGCCUAGACAAACUCCUACUCCACAGGGUCUUCUGAAGCAUGGCAGGCCUACGCCUUCCAGCUGAAGACUUGGAUGUUACCCUAACACCUCUGCUCUCAAUGACCACAGAGGACCCCGGGGUAGCUGUCUGGGCAGCCAGCAACUCCUUGACAGGUCCAAGAGGCACGGACAGCUCCACAGAGCCUGGGGAGUGUGCACAAAGUUACUGAAUGCCGUCCUGGAGAGAGCCCUUCGGUAGCACCCUCCGUAUGUUCCCACCAGAUGCUGUGCAAUAAUUGUGGCCACAUACUCUAUCCUGAAUUCAAGAAAUGACCUUUAAAAUUAAAGGAGCUCUCGAGUAUCAAGAAACAAGAAUCUUAGAAGAGAGUUUGAUAGGCCACACUGGGAAACAGGAUGAGCAGGUCCACGAGAGCCUUGUGCUAUGACACUUCAGAGAGGGUCUACUGCAAAACGAGGCCACACCGCUCCUUAUACCUCCAGCGUCAGUACCAGCAGACUUUGCAGAAAGCACCUGUCCUUUACAUUUGUUCUUGCCAUGCUGAGAACUUUGGCUUGCACUUCCUGCCGUCACCCAGACUGUUCCUCUGCCAUGACAUCAUCCAUUACUAAAGGAACCUCAAACAUUGUGCUGCACUUUGUAGAUGAGAAUAAAUGUCUCCUCUAUUGGAGACUGAGAACAGAACCCUGAAAGCAUCUGCCGAUUGCUUUGUCCCUUCCUGACCAGCCAGCAAGUGGCUUUCUUUCCUGGCAUUUUCUGUACAGUGAGUGAAGGCAGGUCCUGACAGCUGUGUCAGACGCACACUGUUUACUGUGCCUGUGUUUACAUCAGCCUUGUCUAUAUUGACAGCAAACAUCAUAGGGAGGGGAAGAAAGCUUG